rnacentral:misc_RNA from 1 species
GUCACAGAUUGCUGCUUGAUAAUCUUCAAGAGCAAGGUAAAAGCAAAACCGGAGUUCCAAACAUUCAAGGGCAAGUUUAAAUCCAAGAAUACGGUUGAUUUCGGCAAGAGCCGCAUGAACAUCUUGUUUCCUCAUUAAGGAAGCAGCUCGAUACAUAUAGGGAUAAGUCAGAGUUGGAUCCAAGCCAGUUGCUUUCUCAAGAUCUGCCAAUUUUUUAUUGGCAUCACAAUAUAAUGAUCUCUCCUGAUACAUCCACCCAAGUGGGACACCAGUAGAGAUAACAGAGGUCAGCUUGUCA